GGCGGAGGGGAGCCCGCGGCCUGGGUUUCCGCGCGCGCCGAGACCCGGGCGCAGAGCGAGUGCGUCCCCACCAGCCUGGCCGCCGCGGGAACUCGGGGACCGGGAGGGCGGGGGUUAGCGGGAGGAAAGGGUAAGCUGAAGAGGGGCUGGGAACGGGAGGGAGGCUCGGGGCGAACGGGCCGUCGCGUUCAUUUCCAUAAGAAAGCUGAAAUCGCAGUUGGAAGCAGGAUUUCUCGCCCCUGCAGCCCUUCCCCCAUACCCGGUUUUCUGCAAGAAGCGGGCUCCAGAGCUCAGAGCCCGAAGUGUGUGCUCUGGUCUUUGAUGAUGUUGAUAAAAUGUGGUUUCAAAUGUUGUCCCGAAGAGGCCGGUUUCCUGUCUGUAUGUGGAAUGGAAGGACCGUGCCGGGGCACCAAGAGGCACCCUGAGAACUCAGAGGACCCAGAGGCUCCCCUCAAGCAAAUUCCCUGCUGACCCUGGACACCCCUUGAAGGAGGGGGCAAGAGGCUGCCACAAGGCUCAUCUUAUAACUCCCAGCAAGGACUCCCAGCAAACAAGUUCAGCUUGGGAUCUGCCCACCACCAAGCCUGGCUGGGAGGUGGGGGGGAGCGAGGGGCGGUGGAGAGGCAGAGUCCCUGAACAGGGAAAAGACAAUCAGUUGUUCCCCUUUCUGGUGUCAGAGGCAAAGAAGCCUGAAGGGCUGGUGGUGGUGCUGGCUCUGGGUUUAUUGACUCUGUGAUCCUGUCCAGCUGUCCUACAGGGAGUUCCAGAGCUCUCCCAAAGUGCAUGAGGAACUGCACAAGUAGGACUGGGGCACAAUACCAGAAGCUAUUUGUCUCCUAGAACCUGGCACCCCCUCCACUUACCUUACAGGAGACCCACAUCACUCAGUUCCCAGGACACCUGGUGGGAGAGUCUGGUGAGAUUUGGAGGCAGACUUCCUCUACUCACAACUUGUUUGAAAAUGGACAUAAAGAGAAGAACAGACACUCCAUCGCCCCUUCAGGGCCUCCUUUGUGUCACAAAACCUAUCCCCUCCUAGGGCACCCUUGACAUUCCCCUAGGUGGGCCUACACAUUGUUCAGAACCUGUCCCCUGUACCAAAAUAAAUAUAAAUGAGUUUGUUUCUUUAAAAGAAAUAUUACAGCUUUAAACUUUUCCCAGCCGGAAUCCACCUAAUUUCAUCAAGGUCUCUCGCUAGCAGCCAUAACCCAGGCCAAAAGGGCUUGUCCCUAGGGAGGCACCAAAGGGAGAAUACCCCAGGCCCAUUUCAUUCCACUGAGGUUUUUGAACCCCUAGGUGUCUAAGGUAAUACCACCACCAUCCCCACCUGUUUUCAGUUCUUUCUUUGUGGCUUAAGAUUGCAUUUUUGGAGGGUUUAUGUAAUGUUGUUCACGUCAGCAAGUCUCCCUGCCCCACCCUCACCCCACUGUCCUAUAUGGAAUUAUAGUUGGAAACCACACACACAUAGAAAAUCUUUGAAGAUUUUUUUCUGCUAUUCUUCCUGACUAGAAGAGUUGACAAGACAUAGACACAUUCAGUUGCAUAAAAUACAGUAGCGUGAUCAGCCUAAA
ensembl:lncRNA LINC01159 long intergenic non-protein coding RNA 1159